GAGGUGCCUCGCUUAAACAGUUGGCUACUUUCUGAGAAGAAGGGAGUGUGGGGGGUGUUCUAUAAAGCUGCAGUGAUUGGGACGAGACUCCACCAUGCUGUGGCUGUAACCUGUCUGUCGAUGGCAUUGUACCUUGUCUUCUUAAAGUGACAGCGUCAGUCUGGACUGGACUGAGAUGGACUGAUCCAGGGCAGGCUUGGCUGUGCUUUGCAGAGCUGGAUUGGGCUGUACUGGGUUGCCACCCAUGGAAACUUAGGACCGUGUGCCCCCAGAACACCAAUUCAUUCACCCAGUAACCUCAAAGGACAUGUAUAAAGGACAAGCUAAUACUGCCCCCAGGUGGUGAUAAAGAUCCCAGUCACUCUGCACUCUUCUACACCUGCGUGCGUCCCAAUAACAUCUCCUUUCUCCUGAAGUGAGCACUCGUUCGCUACACCCCACAUAUAAAAGCAUUGGAUUGGGGUUGGCAUGGGGCUAGGAAGUUUCCAUAUACCAGUGAUUUCUGUUCAGAGAUUAUGAAGGGGAGUGUUCAAGUGCACACUUGGGGAGAAAGGAGAGACGACUGGGACGCAGGUGUUGUAUCCAUCCCUGCACGACACCACCGUCACCCAGUUUAACCUGUGUUUACUGUACACAUCCCAUUAGAACACGGUUUGGCAAUCUAUUCUCCAGGGGCACAUUUUUGUCUUAGCUCAGCACUAACACAUCAUUUCCCUCCAUUCUUUCCCCCACACCAAAUACACACACAACAAUUUAUAGACAAACACAAACUACUACAUUUCCCCUGCCCAGACCCGCAUGCUCACACACCCAUCCCUAGUGCCUGCAUUGUUUGCCAUAUGGCCUGAAAAGGCACCAUUUUGUUUCUCUGUAGCCCACGCACUUUCAAUAUUGAAAUAAUAAAUCAUCGAUUUUUCCAUUGUGUUAA